rnacentral:sRNA from 1 species
CAGAUUAUGGCCAAAGUCUAAAUUUGAAUACUGUGCUGACUGACCCUUUUCUACUCUAUUGUUGCGCAAAUGAUACUCUUCAAGGAAGGAUUAUGGCAGCCUGAGAAAUCAGGAAAGCAUGGCUGGGAACUGGCCAAAACAAAAUCCAGCAAGAUCUCUUUGAAGGACAAACUAUUCGAGAGAAAAGAAUUGUAGAAGCAGCAAAUAAAAAAGAAGUAGACUAUGAAGCAGGGGAUAUUCCAACAGAAUGGGAAGUUUCUUACAGAUUCUGGAUAUUAUACUUUGAUGUCUUACAUUUAAGUCUUUAAACCAUCUUGAGUUCAUUUUUGUAUACGGCGAAAGCUUGGAUUAGAAGAACAAGAAAGACUCCACCUACUAUGGAGGAAAUACUAAAGAAUGAAAAACACAGAGAAGAAAUCAAAAUAAAAAGCCAAGAUUUUUAUGAAAAAGAAAAACUCCUUAGUAAAGAGACCAGUGAGGAACUCCUGCCUCCACCAGUUCAAACUCAAAUUAAAGGCCAUGCCUCUGCUCCAUACUUUGGAAAGGAAGAACCCUCAGUGGCUCCCAGCAGCACUGGUAAAACCUUUCAGCCAGGAUCCUGGAUGCCACGAGAUGGGAAGAGCCACAAUCAAUGAAUGCAUUAUGGUCAAAUCUUUUCAUGUAUAUGGAUGUGACUAUUUUAACAAAUAAAAGAAG